rnacentral:rRNA from 1 species
GGGUUGUGAGGUUAAGCGACUAAGCGUACACGGUGGAUGCCCUGGCAGUCAGAGGCGAUGAAGGACGUGCUAAUCUGCGAUAAGCGUCGGUAAGGUGAUAUGAACCGUUAUAACCGGCGAUUUCCGAAUGGGGAAACCCAGUGUGUUUCGACACACUAUCAUUAACUGAAUCCAUAGGUUAAUGAGGCGAACCGGGGGAACUGAAACAUCUAAGUACCCCGAGGAAAAGAAAUCAACCGAGAUUCCCCCAGUAGCGGCGAGCGAACGGGGAGCAGCCCAGAGCCUGAAUCAGUGUGUGUGUUAGUGGAAGCGUCUGGAAAGGCGCGCGAUACAGGGUGACAGCCCCGUACACAAAAAUGCACAUGCUGUGAGCUCGAUGAGUAGGGCGGGACACGUGGUAUCCUGUCUGAAUAUGGGGGGACCAUCCUCCAAGGCUAAAUACUCCUGACUGACCGAUAGUGAACCAGUACCGUGAGGGAAAGGCGAAAAGAACCCCGGCGAGGGGAGUGAAAAAGAACCUGAAACCGUGUACGUACAAGCAGUGGGAGCACGCUUAGGCGUGUGACUGCGUACCUUUUGUAUAAUGGGUCAGCGACUUAUAUUCUGUAGCAAGGUUAACCGAAUAGGGGAGCCGAAGGGAAACCGAGUCUUAACUGGGCGUUAAGUUGCAGGGUAUAGACCCGAAACCCGGUGAUCUAGCCAUGGGCAGGUUGAAGGUUGGGUAACACUAACUGGAGGACCGAACCGACUAAUGUUGAAAAAUUAGCGGAUGACUUGUGGCUGGGGGUGAAAGGCCAAUCAAACCGGGAGAUAGCUGGUUCUCCCCGAAAGCUAUUUAGGUAGCGCCUCGUGAAUUCAUCUCCGGGGGUAGAGCACUGUUUCGGCAAGGGGGUCAUCCCGACUUACCAACCCGAUGCAAACUGCGAAUACCGGAGAAUGUUAUCACGGGAGACACACGGCGGGUGCUAACGUCCGUCGUGAAGAGGGAAACAACCCAGACCGCCAGCUAAGGUCCCAAAGUCAUGGUUAAGUGGGAAACGAUGUGGGAAGGCCCAGACAGCCAGGAUGUUGGCUUAGAAGCAGCCAUCAUUUAAAGAAAGCGUAAUAGCUCACUGGUCGAGUCGGCCUGCGCGGAAGAUGUAACGGGGCUAAACCAUGCACCGAAGCUGCGGCAGCGACGCUUAUGCGUUGUUGGGUAGGGGAGCGUUCUGUAAGCCUGUGAAGGUGUGCUGUGAGGCAUGCUGGAGGUAUCAGAAGUGCGAAUGCUGACAUAAGUAACGAUAAAGCGGGUGAAAAGCCCGCUCGCCGGAAGACCAAGGGUUCCUGUCCAACGUUAAUCGGGGCAGGGUGAGUCGACCCCUAAGGCGAGGCCGAAAGGCGUAGUCGAUGGGAAACAGGUUAAUAUUCCUGUACUUGGUGUUACUGCGAAGGGGGGACGGAGAAGGCUAUGUUGGCCGGGCGACGGUUGUCCCGGUUUAAGCGUGUAGGCUGGUUUUCCAGGCAAAUCCGGAAAAUCAAGGCUGAGGCGUGAUGACGAGGCACUACGGUGCUGAAGCAACAAAUGCCCUGCUUCCAGGAAAAGCCUCUAAGCAUCAGGUAACAUCAAAUCGUACCCCAAACCGACACAGGUGGUCAGGUAGAGAAUACCAAGGCGCUUGAGAGAACUCGGGUGAAGGAACUAGGCAAAAUGGUGCCGUAACU